CGAACGCUGGCGGCGGGCCUAACACAUGCAAGUCGAACGAGAAAGCUCCUUCGGGAGUGAGUAAAGUGGCGCACGGGUGAGUAACACGUGGGUAACCAACCCCCGAGCCUGGGAUAACGAACCGAAAGGUUCGCUAAUACCGGAUAAGACCAAGUCGACCCCGGUCGACGCGGGAAAAGGAGGCCUCUAUUUAUAAGCUUCCACUUGGGGACGGGCUCGCGGACCAUUAGCUUGUUGGUAGGGUAACGGCCUACCAAGGCUACGAUGGUUAGCUGGUCUGAGAGGAUGAUCAGCCACACUGGUACUGGAACACGGACCAGACUCCUACGGGAGGCAGCAGUGAGGAAUAUUGGGCAAUGGGCGAAAGCCUGACCCAGCCACGCCGCGUGAGUGAAGAAGGCCCUCGGGUCGUAAAGCUCUGUCAAGAGGGAAGAAAUCUAAUCGGUUAAUACCCGGUUAGGAUGACGGUACCUCUAGAGGAAGCACCGGCUAACUCC
rnacentral:rRNA from 1 species